rnacentral:tRNA from 1 species
CAAAAAAUAGUUUAACUUAGAAUCUUGGCUUUGGGAGUCAGGGGUAGGAGUUAGAAUCUCCUUUUUUUGA